AUGCAUCAACUUUGGGGGGUAGCCUCUGCUAUCAAAGAUGAUCUGUGGAAGAUUAUGUGCCCGCAGAAGAUACAUGUAUUCCUAUGGUUGUGCGCUCACAAUAAACUUCUGACUAGGGAUAAUCUGUUAAAGAGGAGGGAGGUUGAUGAUCCUUCCUGUCUCUUUUUUGCAGAGCUCGAAUCUGUACAGCAUUUGAUGUUUGAUUGUGUAGUUGCUCAACAUGUGUGGGGUUUUGUAUCUGACUUCUUUGAGAUGGAUAGAAUUGCUAACUUUGACGAUAUCUUUGCUUUCUGGCGAGUUCAUAAAAAAAGCCUGUGCUUAACAUGGUUAUUGUUGCCUCCUUGUGGAAUUUGUGGAGACUAA
rnacentral:rRNA from 1 species